UACGUAGGGCGCAAGCGUUGUCCGGAAUUAUUGGGCGUAAAGAGCUCGUAGGCGGCUUGUCACGUCGGGUGUGAAAGCCCGGGGCUUAACCCCGGGUCUGCAUUCGAUACGGGCUAGCUAGAGUGUGGUAGGGGAGAUCGGAAUUCCUGGUGUAGCGGUGAAAUGCGCAGAUAUCAGGAGGAACACCGGUGGCGAAGGCGGUUCUCUGGGCAUGAUCUGACGCUGAGGAGCGAAAGUGUGGGGAGCGAACAGG
rnacentral:rRNA from 1 species